CUUGGUCAUUUAGAGGAAGUAAAAGUCGUAACAAGGUCUCCGUAGGUGAACCUGCGGAGGGAUCAUUACAGAGUUCGUGCCCUCACGGGUAGAUCUCCCACCCUGUGUUAUUAUACCUUUGUUGCUUUGGCGGGCCGCCCUCGGCCACCGGCCCCGGCUGGUACGCGCCCGCCAGAGGACCCCAAACUCUGAAUGUUAGUGUCGUCUGAGUACUAUACAAUAGUUAAAACUUUCAACAACGGAUCUCUUGGUUCUGGCAUCGAUGAAGAACGCAGCGAAAUGCGAUAAGUAAUGUGAAUUGCAGAAUUCAGUGAAUCAUCGAAUCUUUGAACGCACCUUGCGCUCCUUGGUAUUCCGAGGAGCAUGCCUGUUUGAGUGUCAUUAAUUUCUCAACCUUGUCAUUUUUCAUGACAAGGCUUGGACAUGGGGGUUUUGCAGGCUUCAACCCAAUGAAGUUGGCUCCCCUUAAACGCAUUAGCCGGAAAACUCUGCGUCUAUUGGUGUGAUAAUUAUCUACAUCGUGGACGGGCAGUAAUGGGUUUUCUGCUUCGAACCGUCCUUAGGGACAUCAAAUGACCAUCUGACCUCAAAUCAGGUAGGACUACCCGCUGAACUUAAGCAUAUCAAUAAGCGGAGGA
rnacentral:rRNA from 1 species